rnacentral:rRNA from 1 species
AGCGAACGCUGGCGGCAGGCUUAACACAUGCAAGUCGAGCGCGUGUAGCAAUACACGAGCGGCAGACGGGUGAGUAACACGUGGGAACGUGCCUUUUGGUUCGGAAUAACUCAGGGAAACUUGAGCUAAUACCGAAUAAGCCCUUCGGGGGAAAGAUUUAUCGCCGAAAGAUCGGCCCGCGUAAGAUUAGCUAGUUGGUGAGGUAACGGCUCACCAAGGCUACGAUCUUUAGCUGGUCUGAGAGGAUGAUCAGCCACAUUGGGACUGAGACACGGCCCAAACUCCUACGGGAGGCAGCAGUGGGGAAUAUUGGACAAUGGGCGCAAGCCUGAUCCAGCCAUGCCGCGUGAGUGAUGAAGGCCUUAGGGUUGUAAAGCUCUUUUAGCAGGGACGAUAAUGACGGUACCUGCAGAAAAAGCCCCGGCCAACUACGUGCCAGCAGCCGCCGUAACAC